UCAAACCACGAUCCUCAGUUCUCAGACUCCUGAGCAGCUAGGAUUACAGGUGUGAGCCACCGGCGCUUGGUGCUUUGUUACUUCUUAUAUUCUUGGUCUACCAUUCUCACGAACAACUGUUAUUUGGAGAAGACAGAGUGACAGAUAAUUAUGAUAUUUAAUACUUGCCCUUCAGGCUGAAGGCAAAGAUAGCUGCAAGAUUGGAUAACAACUGUGAGUUUGAAGGACUGACUGAAAAUAAUCCACUUUCUUUAGAACAACCCAUGGCGUUGUUAGAGGCAAUUUCACAGUUGAUUCUGAAUAAAAUGCCAACUGCAGAGUAUUCCAGCUUGUUGAAUGACUUUGUUGAAUCUGAGUUUUUUCUGAUCAAUGGAGACUCCUUACUGAUCACGUGUAUAUGUAAGAAGUCAC